rnacentral:rRNA from 1 species
GACGAACGCUGGCGGCGUGCUUAACACAUGCAAGUCGAACGGACAGGCCCUGCUCUUGCGGGGUGCUUGAGUGGCGAACGGGUGAGUAACACGUGAGUAACCUGUCCCUGACUUUGGGAUAACUUCUGGAAACACGGGCUAAUACCCGAUAGGAGCUCCUGCUGCAUGGUGUGCGUUGGAAAGUUUCGGCGGUUGGGGCUGGACUCGCGGGUUAUCAGCUUGUUGGUGGGGUAGUGGCUUACCAAGGCUUUGACGGGUAGCCGGCCUGAGAGGGUGACCGGCCACAUUGGGACUGAGAUACGGCCCAGACUCCUACGGGAGGCAGCAGUGGGGAAUAUUGCACAAUGGGCGGAAGCCUGAUGCAGCAACGCCGCGUGCGGGAUGACGGCCUUCGGGUUGUAAACCGCUUUCGCCUGUGACGAAGCGUGAGUGACGGUAAUGGGUAAAGAAGCACCGGCUAACUACGUG